rnacentral:lncRNA from 1 species
ACAACAAAAAGUUGGCGAGCAAAACUCGAGGCCCGCCAACAAAAAAGGGCGGCCAGCCGGAUGGCGGCGACAGGGCCGACUCAAUUAAAAAAAGACACAAGAGAAAAAAAGGCGACGCAAAGGGGGGCGGUAAUUUCCACGAUGAUUUCGCAUUUUCUUUCUUUUUCGACGACGACGACAACAAGAGGGAGCGCGGAGAGGGGCGAGCGCAACAGAGAGGUUUUUUCCUUUUGCGGAUUUUCAUGUUUUUGGCGUCGGGAGAGUAGAGGCCUGGGGGUCGAUUGGCUCUGACGGGAUUCGAACCCGCGACCGCGACCUCUUUUGGCGGGCAAAAGAUGCGCCGGUGCCGACUCUUUUUUUUUGUUCUCUUUUUUCAGAGGCGCACCAUUGUUCUUUUUUGGCUCGUCUUUCCGUUCUCUUUGUCACCGAGGCGAGGGUUUGCCGUUGCCGUCGUCUCUGUCGCCGCCGUCUCUGUCGUCGUCCACCGUUGUGGUCGCCAUCGCCGUCAUCGCCGUCGGGUUGCUUGCGGUCAGAGCCUGCAGGCGUCAUUUGCAUCGUCGUCAUUGUCGACAUUGUCCUCCUCCUCCUUGUCCCCGACGGCAUUGUCUCAUCCGCCAAGGCGACAACAAUGAUGACGGCGACGCCAGGCCGGCGACAUAAAAAAAAAGAGACACUCAAUCGAUGAGUCGCCGCGAAGCGGCCCGAAGAAAAAAAUUUAGGGGUGUUUUUGUAGAGGCAACGCAAAGAGAGGCGUGAACCGACAGAGGGGCGGUCAAAGGCACUGGCACCGCCGACGGCGGAUCGAGGCCGGCACUUUUUUGAGGCGACGCUUUGACAGACAAAAGGGAAAAGAUGGGGGAAAACCCGAAAAAGAAAAAAGGGACGUCGACAGCGCCCAAGAUCCAAGAGAGGGAAAAAAAAAGGCGGUAGCGAUGAACCGACGGCGACAGAGCGGCGCAACAACAACACACGGACCGUGUUUUUUGGCGAGGUGGCAAAAUUGUGCGACGACACAGCGACACGACGGCCGGCUCGCGCGCGUGCAUGCCGACAACAACAACAAGACCCAAAAUCGGGCCCGCAAAUUUUUUUGCAAAGUACCAGGAUAUAUCUAUGAAAAAACCGGGAUAAAUCCAGGCAUUUACCUAUCGAAAAUCCGGGAUAAAUCGAGACACGAAAAAAGGGCGUCUUUCUUUUGCGGCGAUGUCGUCUUUCGUGAUGUCUCUUUUUUUUUUAUUCUUUCUUUUGUGUCUGUUGUUGUCGUCGUCGUCGAGGGUCUCCUUGUUGUCGUCGUCGUCCUUGCGCCGUCACCCUCGCCGGCGCCGUGCACCUCUCCAAGCCCAAGAGACCGCGAUACGACGACGCGAGCAAAAAAGAGAUCAUCGCCUUUUUCCUUUUCCUUUUCUUCUUCCUUUUGACAAAAGAAACCUAUUUUUUGGAGGAGACAAAGAGGGCGGACCAAUGAGAAUUUUGGAAAGGGGGUCGGUGAGGGGAGGACGACAAAAGAAAUCGGGCAGAGGGCCGCAAGGCCGAUGCCAAGAGCCCCGACGACGACAACGACAACAACAACAACAAAAAGUUGGCGAGCAAAAGUCGAGGGCGCCCGCCAACAAAAAAGGGCGACCAGCCAGAUGGCGGCGGGGCCGACUCAAUAAAAAAAAAGGGCGAAGCAAAGGGGCGGUAAUUCCCAUGAUGAUUUCCCAUUUUCUUUUCUUUUCGACGACGACGACAACAACAGGCGGCAGGAAGAGGCGAGCACGACGGAUGGGGUUUGGUUUUCUUUUUUUUUUCGUGGGUUUUUGUGUUUUUAGGCAUCAGGAGGGCGCGACUCUAUUUGGCUAUGACGGGAUUCGAACUCGCGAUCGUGAUCUCUUUUGGCGGAAAAGGCGCACCAGCGCGGGUGCCCUUUUUUUUUUGAUUCCGGUGUCGGGCCGGACGGAGGGCGGCCCUGUGCUGCCGCUAGACGGCGACAGCGCACGCGCCCACAGGCAGACUCGCCCACAUCAUUCGACAAGAAGAAGGAAAGGUCUCGACGGUCUUUUUGUUAUCGACAACAACGACA